GGAAGAGCUCCCAGCAUGCACCGCUGUCACCUCCACAGAGUGAAAGUAGCAGUUCCUCCUGAAGGUCAGAGAUUGCAGCAUCUGAGGGCCUUUUCAAAAGAAGAUGUAGUUGAUGAAGGCGUUCUGGAGCAGGACCAGAAAGACCACGACCAAGCAGCCUUGAGAUCUUAGGCAGCGUCUCCCUCAGACCAAAGAACUUCAGACUCUUCACAACCUGCUCAAACUCUUGGUACAGGACCUCACCACACGGGUCAAGAAGGUUUCUGUCUCAUUUCUACUCUGAAGCUCACCUUCUCCUGCUCAAACUGCUGACAAAUGUUUCUGCUGCUCUAAAGUCUGGUCUCCAGAACUUCCUAAACACUCUCAAAGUCUCUUCUGCUGCAGGUUGCUUUGUAGAACUGUUCCAGAAAACCUCACUAAACCACAUGGAGGAGCCUCAAGAUAGUCGUCCAAAUGAAACCAUACAAAAACCAAACUAGCACAACCCAAACGCUAAAGUCUCCUGCAGCCUACCAGAGAACCUCUGAGAACAGAGAAUCAGGACAGGAACUCUUACCUUCUGGACAACCAACGCUGGUUCACAAACAAGAAUACAGAAUGUGUCUGACCAAAAACCUCUGAAGACUCACUACAGCCAAGAUAAAGACACAACUCACCUGCACCAAAUCCACUAAUCACUGCACACAUUAGCACCAU
ensembl:lncRNA